CCCUCGCCCUCCCACAUCGCUCUUCCCUGACCCUGCUUCCCCAUCUCGAUUCCUCUCUACCCGCGAGACAAACGCCCUUCUCCAUUAGUAUCUGCAACCACGGCGACGGCAGCCCCCAUACGCUCUCCCACGCAGCUGCUUCGGAGCAGCCAUCCCACACCUCAACUUUUCGUGGGAUUGUUAUUGGUGGUGAUGUGGUUCCUAGGCUUUCAUUUUCAUCGCAGGCGGCAGCGUUGGGAUGCGUCUCUCUGGGACGCUUCGCAGUUGGGCUUGCUGGUUACUGCUCCUCCUCUUCGCUGGAGAUGAUAUGGUUCUCUGUUUGAGGAGUCGACUGCGAUGGGGCUCAAAAAGCUGAGGAGGGUCGGGUGACUGUUGAUUGGGGGAUGGGGCAACGAAAUCUAUCUGCUCAUGAGGAGCUUGUGCCGGUGCAUCUAGGCAUUCACUAGCAGAGGCGGAUGGCGUAGAGGACCAGGGCUCAUCAAGCAACAAGAAUGCACGGUUGGAGAAUGUGCUGACACAGCUCAUUCACGCCACGACGUAGUUCCAGACCUCUGACAUUCGCCUCUGCACGAUGGAGCCGUGCCUCCGAUCAUUUUGCCGACUGCGCCGUCUUCUUCGUACUAGGGGCCUAUAUAUUGCACGGCCAUGGCUGCUAAAAGACAAAGUGAGAAGAUUAUUAGAACAUGGAUUCCUUUGAAGAAUGUAAACCUGAAUUCAUGUGGACAUCAAGUGCAGCAACACGAAUUUGGCUCCUUGAUUCAACAAUAGCUCUUGACUGCAUCUAAUCACCAUCUAUUGCAGGUCGAUUAUACAGUGUACCUAUCGCGGCAGAUUAUCCUUCAACACAUUUAAUUUGCACCGCCCUUCAGUUGCCCAUCAAUUCUACCCAUACCAUCCGCCAUAGCAAUGGCCCUUCGAGGGGUACCGGAUGGUGUCAACUCCUAGACGUUAGCCGUCCCAAGGUUCUUCCAUUGUGACCACAUGCCCACCGAGUAUGCCGUUAUGGAGAGUGAACUGGAGAGCAUCAUUCGUUUGUUGUGCACACGCAAGACUGUCAAAGUUGAUGACAUGAAUCUUGCCCCAAACAACAAGUUGGAGCAACUCUAUGUAGCAUCGGUGACUUACGAGCAGCAUCACUAGGGCGUGGCAAGAAAAGGCGCAGCGUCUGAGCAACUCAAUUUGUUUGAGGAUUUGUGUCAUGCCGGCGACCUCACUGUCACGCGGAUGUAUGCCGGCAAGAAGACUCCAGCUAAUCCCCAUCGCAAGGUAGCGGACUCACUCACCUGUCUACUGGGUCACAAACGCGACACCGUGCCCUCCUCGGUCGCAAUAUUAGGUGAGCUGAGAUUAACCUUUCAUAGAAACACCGGAUGCAUUACUGACUAAUAGCUGCCUGUUCCAUCUUGCACAGGGCAGCCAAUGUAACAGGCUGCCAUGACCAAGCAAGUGUGGUUUACCUAUAUGCGUGUCAACAAAGAUUAGGCCCUAUCAUACCAAGUUUGUAGGUAGAGCCGGCAGGUAGCAAUUGUUUACCCUGCCAAGACCAAGCAAGUUUAGUUUACCCUGCACCUCCGAUUAAUGAGCCCCUGACCGUGCAAGUCUACAAAUAUUUAGAGGGAGGCUGCGUAGAUUUACUAGCUAGAAAUAGAAAGAAAAAUAAAAUACUUUCUUCGAUCCAAAUUAACUGGCGCAGCGAUAUACUAUGUCUUAUCAGCUGCCAUUACACAAAUUAAGCAAUUCUUUUUUUUGGCCCAAUACAAUUGAGUGCAGGCUCUAAAUGAAUUUAAGUGACAACUUUUUUGUGAGAACUGAAAAGUCAGCAAUCUUCCUGAUUAGCAGAUUAGCUGGGCAUACAAAUUUCAUAUGCAUGUGUGUUAAUGUAUUCUGAGCUUCUCACUGGUCAGAUAUAAAACAGUGUAACCCAACAAUGGUCUCAGCUGUUAGUCUUGGUUUAUACCCAUGGCACGCCUCAUCCUUGGCUUGAUUUAUCCCUGUCAUCUGCUUGUGUUCUUCAUUUUCCAAACGUUUUGUUAGUAUUCGUUUUGUAAUUUUCCUUGUGUCAUCUAUAGUUUUUCAGGAUAACCAUGUUUUCUCGCAGAAAAAGAUCAAAGAACAUUAUAGCAGAGUGCCACGCGGGAUGUUAUAAGGAACAGACGUGAGUAGUGUUCAGCUGAAGUAUGGUACCUUUUGCCGUUUUUCUGCUAAUCGAUGACUUUUCUGAUUUUUCAUGCCCGUUCUUUUGUUUCUAUGCCGUAGUUUUUGCGAGAUAUCUGUCAGUGAUGGCAAGGCUGUAUCUGUAAGAUGUUUAUGCUUCUCUGUUCGUGAAACAUAUUGGCCUAUGAUUUUACCACAAAUAUUAGAGAUACUUGUA